rnacentral:misc_RNA from 1 species
UAUGCCUACCCCUAUUUAUCCAUAAAAGAAUCGGGUCCUAGCGAGUCAAGCUCCAGCCGCGUCUACCCGUCAGUACACCAGAGACUACUGUAGAGGUUGAGUGAAGGAAGAUGGCUGACCCUGAUCACCUAUGUCAAAUAUAACACCUAAAACACGUACAGAACGUCUGAAAAUGCUAUGAUUGAUUGUAAUAUUGAACACGUUCCGAGACGAGCCGCCAGACAGCCGGAUCUGGCCAAAUUUGCGAUCCCAACACUAAUAAGAUAUCGUCGAUCCAAUCGCACUUUUUCCAACGGUGUCCAAUCAAAGCGGGAAUGAUCCCAUCUCGAAGAUUUCUUCGCUCUGAGUCCAUCGGUGGUCUCGAAUUUCUGAUCUAACGGUCGAAUCGUCGGGAAAUCGGCCGGAAACCCACUGCCUCAACUUUCUCUGUCCUCUUUCUCUUAAUCUCGUUAGAACUCCAUAGAACCAAGUCCUAAUGGCCGAUUUGAGUAGCUGGAGUCAUUAGGAGUCACUUCCCGUUA